UACGUAGGUGGCUAGCGUUGUCCGGAUUUACUGGGCGUAAAGAGCGCGCAGGCGGUCGUUUCAAGUCGAGUGUGAAAGCCCCCCGGCUCAACUGGGGAGGGUCACUCGAUACUGAUCGACUUGAAGGCGGGAGAGGGAAGCGGAAUUCCCGGUGUAGUGGUGAAAUGCGUAGAUAUCGGGGAGGAACACCAGUGGCGAAGGCGGCUUUCUGGCCCGUUCUUGACGCUGAGGCGCGAAAAGCUAGGGUAGCAAACGGG
rnacentral:rRNA from 1 species